rnacentral:rRNA from 1 species
UGGGGAAUUUUGGACAAUGGGCGAAAGCCUGAUCCAGCAAUGCCGCGUGUGUGAAGAAGGCCUUCGGGUUGUAAAGCACUUUUGUCCGGAAAGAAAUCCUUGGCUCUAAUACAGUCGGGGGAUACGGUACCGGAAGAAUAAGCACCGGCUAACUACGUGCCAGCAGCCGCGGUAAUACGUAGGGUGCAAGCGUUAAUCGGAAUUACUGGGCGUAAAGCGUGCGCAGGCGGUUUGCUAAGACCGAUGUGAAAUCCCCGGGCUCAACCUGGGAACUGCAUUGGUGACUGGCAGGCUAGAGUAUGGCAGAGGGGGGUAGAAUUCCACGUGUAGCAGUGAAAUGCGUAGGAGAUGUGGAGGAAUACCGAUGGCGAAGGCAGCCCCCUGGGGCCAAUACUGACGCUCAUGCACGAAAGCGU